GUGAGGAAUAUUGGUCAAUGGACGGAAGUCUGAACCAGCCAUGCCGCGUGCAGGAAUAAGGUCCUAUGGAUUGUAAACUGCUUUUAUUCGGGAAUAAACCUCUUUACGUGUAGGGAGCUGAAGGUACCGAAGGAAUAAGCACCGGCUAACUCCGUGCCAGCAGCCGCGGUAAUACGGAGGGUGCACGCGUUAUCCGGAAUCAUUGGGUUUAAAGGGUCCGCAGGCGGGCUAUCAAGUCAGAGGUGAAAUCCCACAGCUUAACUGUGGAACUGCCUUUGAAACUGAUGGUCUUGAAUUAAGUGGGCGUUGGCGGAAUAUGACAUGUAGCGGUGAAAUGCAUAGAUAUGUCAUGGAACACCGAAAGCGAAGGCAGCUAACGAUACUUAUAUUGACGCUCAUGGACGAAAGCGUGGGUAGCGAACAGGAUUAGAAACCCGGGUAGUCC
rnacentral:rRNA from 1 species